rnacentral:tRNA from 1 species
AGAUGGCUAGUUUAAGAAAACACUUGAUUUCGGCUCAAAAAUUUGUGGUUAAAGUCCACAGCCUUUCU